GCAUAUGUGUCCGAGUGGUCUAAGGAGCCAGAGUCAAGUUCUGGUGGCGUAAAGCCGCGCAAGUUCGAACCUUGUCAUAUGCA
rnacentral:tRNA from 1 species